rnacentral:misc_RNA from 1 species
CGCACCUUGCGCUCCUUGGUAUUCCGAGGAGCAUGCCUGUUUGAGUGUCAUGUUAAUAUCAACCCCGUCGGUUUGUAAAUCAGACCGUUGGGUGUUGGACUUGGAGGUUCUUGCUGGCUGCAAAGUCGGCUCCUCUUGAAUGCAUUAGCUUGGGCCUGUUGUGCGUACUCGCGGUGUAAUAAGUUUUAUUCAUCGUUUGGGUCGUACACUUAUUGGGCUUGCUUCUAACUGUCUUCGGACAAGCAUAACCUUUGACUCUGACCUCAAAUCAGGUAGGACUACCCGCUGAACUUAA